GGCCCUGUGAUACUCAGCACAACACAGCCGGGGUGCUGAGGGUCCCCACCAGUGACACAUAGCCACCUCCCCUGGCCAUCAUCACUACCUUCCCUUUGCCACCUCACAUUACUCUUGCCCUAUUCCAGCCUCCUGGGACCCUGUCUGUCUCCAGUGUCCCCAGUGUCUGCUCCCAUCGCAGGACCUGUGCAGUUGCUGUGUCCACUCCAAUGAUGCCCUCUCGGCGUAUGAGUGAGUGUGCAAACUCCCAGAUUUGUCUUCUGGAAAUUCCACGAGUGACUGAGAUCACGCACAAGGCCCUGCAGCUGCGUUCACCAUGCUGUUUCUACCCCAUCAAUGGAGAGAGAGCAGAUUCAAAGCCUGGGGCUCAUUUAAUUUUUUUUAUUUUUAAUUUUGUUUUUAAU
rnacentral:lncRNA from 1 species